rnacentral:lncRNA from 1 species
ACCUACCCUGUAACUCCAAUACGUUCCCAUGAUAAGGCAAGGCAAGGUUUCUUCUAACCUACCCUGUAACUCCAAUACGUUCCCCAUGAUAAGGCAAGGUUUCUUCUAACCUACCCUGUAACUCCAAUACGUUCCCCAUGAUAAGGCAAGGCAAGGUUUCUUCUAACCUACCCUGUAACUCCAAUACGUCCCCAUGAUAAGGCAAGGCAAGGUUUCUUCUAAAUAAGAGAUCAGGCUGAUGAGGUGUUGAAUGUGUUGGACAGAAAGAUGUGCACCAGCAGGUCAGACUUGGUUGAUGUACAGUGAACUGCUUUCUGUCAGUUGUGUAAUUAUGUAAAAACUAUAAUACGAAUAUUAGUAGCUAAAAGGCUGUUUAUUUAAUCUAAUUAAAUGAAUGAUUGUAUUUGCAGAACAACACAUUUGAAAAGGCAAGAUAAAUAGAAUAUUGUACUGGAAUCUCUGAGAGACUUGGUAGUUUAUGUCCAGUGAUAUUCACAGUAUUCUUCUUUAAAAGAUAUAGCGUGUGUUAACAUAUUCCUUUGUAAGAAACAGUUCAAGUAUAAAAAGUUCCCAACAUUGUAAAACAGUCAAUCUCACAAAGUUAAUAACAAACUCACAGCUAUGGAAAUAAAAUGUAAAAAACAAUGUUUUUAAGGAUAGAGAGUAUUAUAAUGUAUAUCUAAUAGUUUAUACUGUAACGUUUCUCUAUCGUUGUCCGCACACAUUACAAAGAGAAAGAUAUCUACAAAAUAACAAGAAAAUAGGUUGUAUAGAUAAAGAAAAGGUUUCCUUCAUGCCGUUAUAUUUAGGUUUUAUAAAAGUCCUAAUUAUCAUUGUAGCUAUAGUACAUACCUGACAAUAACAAUGUGAAUAUC